UACGUAGGGGGCUAGCGUUGUCCGGAAUCAUUGGGCGUAAAGCGCGUGUAGGCGGCCCGGUAAGUCCGCUGUGAAAGUCGGGGGCUCAACCCUCGAAAGCCGGUGGAUACUGUCGGGCUAGAGUACGGAAGAGGCGAGUGGAAUUCCUGGUGUAGCGGUGAAAUGCGCAGAUAUCAGGAGGAACACCAAUUGCGAAGGCAGCUCGCUGGGACGUAACUGACGCUGAGACGCGAAAGCGUGGGGAGCAAACAGG
rnacentral:rRNA from 1 species